AAAAGCCACGACUGACUCAGGCCUGGAGAGAUGGAAUUUCUCGAAUUUCCAGAAAUCACAUGGUGGGAUCUGGUGCCCUCUUCUGAUGACAGGUUGUACAUUCAGAUAGAGUGUUCAUAUACAUAAAAUAAAUAACAUAAAUGUUUUUAUUAUUUAUUUUAUUAUUUUUCGAGACAGGGUUUCUCUGUGUAGUUUUCACUGUCCUGGAACUCACUC